AGGUCAUCUAGUCCAACUUCCCUGCAAUGAACAGGGACACCUACAG
rnacentral:miRNA from 7 species